rnacentral:rRNA from 1 species
GUGAGGAAUUUUCCGCAAUGGGCGAAAGCCUGACGGAGCAAUGCCGCGUGAAGGAUGAAGGCCUAUGGGUUGUAAACUUCUUUUCUCAGAAAAGAAUUAUGACGGUAUCUGAGGAAUAAGCAUCGGCUAACUCUGUGCCAGCAGCCGCGGUAAGACAGAGGAUGCAAGCGUUAUCCGGAAUGAUUGGACGUAAAGCGUCUGUAGGUUGUUUAAGAAGUAUACUGUCAAAGAUUAGGGCUUAACCCUAGAUAGGCAGAAUAAACUUUUAAGCUAGAGUUUGGUAGAGGCAGAGGGAAUUCCCGGUGGAGCGGUGAAAUGCGUAGAUAUCGGGAGGAACACCAAAGGCGAAGGCACUCUGCUGGGCCAAUACUAACACUGAGAGACGAAAGCGAGGGGAGCAAAUGGGAUUAGAAACCCUAGUAGUCC